rnacentral:lncRNA from 1 species
GAUUGUAGGUCGGUCGUCAUACAGGAGAUCUCUUCUUGGAGCAUCUUCUCCUGUUCAGUUGCCGCUUGAAGCUAUUCAAUGGUAGCAGUUUUUUCAACAUUGACGGCCGCCACCUUGUCCAUCCAUGCCUAGUGAAGAUAGAUAAUUUUUCGAUAUCCGCUUUCUAGAGUGUACAUAUUGUGCACCCAUUGAAAAGAAAAGACAAAUCAAGUCAGAUAAAAAAAAAACAAAAAAAAGAAAUGUUGGAAACUUACCCUAAGCAUCGUUGGACAAAAUGAAGAAAAUAUUUCAGACACCAUUCAAUUUCUCCUGUUCUCCCUAUC